UCUCGGCCUGCCCGGCACUGGCAGCACCGGCUCGCUGCCGCCCUUGGGUUAAAGGGUUUGGGGAAGGGGGAAGCUGUGGGGUUUGGCGUAGCGCGGUGCCUGAGGCCGUACCAUGGACAGGCGGUGCUAUGGGUGCGCGUCCAAGUUCACUGUCUUCAAGAAAGAGUGUGGGUGCAAGAGCUGUGGACGGGCAUUCUGCUCAGGCUGCCUUAGCUUCAGUGCUGUUGUUCCCCGCUGUGGAAACACUCAGCAGAAGGUGUGCAAGCAGUGUCAUGGAAAACUGACUGGAGACGGAUCUCAAAGCAGUUCAGCUAAAUGGUCACCGCCAGAAAACUACAAAAAGCGUGUUGCAGCUUUCGAGGCUAAGCAAAACCAGCUGAAGGAACCACGGAAGGCAGCUGCAAAACUCCCGGGUCAAGCAGGCUCCAGAUACCAGGGGCUCUCAAAAGAGGACAGAGCUAUUGCAGAGAGACUGGAGAGGCUCAGGGAGGAAAGGAAACCAAAGUCCAUCCCUACCCAAGCUGAGAUUGAAGCCAGGCUGGCUGCCCUGAAGGAGGAUGGCCGGGGACCUGUUCCAUCCAUGCAGGAAAUGGAGGACCGCUUGGCUGUCCUGCAGGGGAGAGACCCUCCUUCCCAGGCUCCCAGACCUGUACAUCAGCCUCCUGAUACUAGAAGUCUGGUCCAGCAGGCAGAUGACCUGUUAACUCAGCUGUCUGAGGAAGUUGCCAUUGAUGAACAUUACAGACCAAGAGUUCAGCCUCAAGCUCUCAGUAGCCACAGUUUGAACGAUCUCAAUCGGGAAAGUGAAGAUUGUGCUUCCCCUGCAAAUCUGGACCCAAAACAGCUUGAGGAAGAGAAGAAUAAACUUCUGGCAGAAGCUGCUGCUGAGCUGCGAGAAGAGAACACCAGGCAGGAAAAGAUUCUCCAAGUUGCCAAGAGACUGGCAGCGCUCAGAGGCGAGGACCCAGAGAAAGUUACACUGGAAACCUAUAAACUCCCUGACAGUGAUGAGGAAGUGGCUGAGGAGGAAGCCAUCCAGAGAGUGCUAAAACAGCUCACAGAGGAAGCAGCCCUGGAUGAGGCAAGUGGAUUCAACAUUCCUCCAGAUCAGACCACCCAACCAGGACCAUCACAACAGAAGCUGUAUAAAAAAUCAAAGCAAAAGAGCCAGACUCCAGCCCUCACAGCCCUUGGCCAGGCAGAUGACAGUGAGGAGGAUGAGUUACCCUGGUGCUGUAUCUGCAACGAAGACGCCACUUUGCGCUGCCACGGCUGCGACGGGGACCUCUACUGCCAGAGGUGUUUUCGGGAAGGCCACGAUGACUUUGACCUGAAGGACCACCACACCUCCCGCUAUCGUCUUCCUUGCAAGUAGAAGCGAUCACACUCUUCAUGGGCAGAAAAGGAGGUGGUGAAUGCGAGAAGAAUCCGCCAAGAUGGGAAGAGUCCAAGUGGAUUUGCAGCCCAAAGGGAUGGUGUUUUGGACAGUCAAAGGAUGUGCCUGUAAUCUGAGACAGGCUUGGAGAGUGUGUGACUUUGCUCUCACAAACACAUCCAGAGAAGUGCAGGGUUUGCCGUGGAUGCUUGGGGAGAAAUGAGGAAGGACUUGAUAUGAGGCGGCGGUUGCGAGUCUAUAAAUGCAGACUUAGUGGACGAAAGGAAAGAAGUCUUGAUGUGCUCCUGAGAAUUGUAUUCAGUGCUCCUCAGCCUGCAUGGAAAUUCCUAGAAGAACCUAAAGGAAGGACAUCUUGUCCUGUUCCACAGGUUAACAUGUCCUUUAAGAGUCAGGGAUAUGUACAAUCUAGCUGCCUGCUGUGUGAGUAUGUCUGGAAGGAUUGGAGACUUCAGACCACUGGGUACAAAGCUCACAGUCUUGGUGAUGUUUCUCAAUAAUGGAACUCACCUUCCCCUGGGCUUCCUCACUCCUUUCCUCCGUCUCCUUUAACAGUGGCCUCUCCGUAACUAACGUCUCACAGCACAAGCUCCUCACAGCGUUGGUGAUCCCGGGGAGAGAGGUGGGGAAGACAGCUCAGCCGAGGCAGCAGCCGGGCACUGCGGGCAGAAUUACAGCACCAGCUUCUUGGGUUUCAGCAUCGUCUGUGCUGAAAGGAACGGGGGAGGCAGGCAGAGGAGCUGUUGUAACAACAUCUCUGUUGUUAAAAGAAGCCAAGUGAACCAGGGAAUUGAUGAACCGAGUUGGUUAAUAUUUAACUCAGCUCCAAGAGAGCCCUCCAGUGACCGACCCGGGGAGCUGCCUCAUCCAACAGACAAACCAGCUGAGAUCCUCCAUCAUGAAGCGGACCCAACCACCCCAUUCUCAGGACUGAUGUGGAAAAAGCAAGUAAGUCUCUGCUGCCCCUGGCAGCCAAGGUACCUCCAGUUUGGAGACCAAGAGGUAGAUAAGCCAAA